GAUGAACGCUGGCGGCGUGCCUAAUACAUGCAAGUCGAGCGAACGGACGAGAAGCUUGCUUCUCUGAUGUUAGCGGCGGACGGGUGAGUAACACGUGGAUAACCUACCUAUAAGACUGGGAUAACUUCGGGAAACCGGAGCUAAUACCGGAUGAUAUUUUGAACCGCAUGGUUCAAAAGUGACAGACGGUCUUGCUGUCACUUAUAGAUGGAUCCGCGCUGCAUUAGCUAGUUGGUAAGGUAACGGCUUACCAAGGCAACGAUGCAUAGCCGACCUGAGAGGGUGAUCGGCCACACUGGAACUGAGACACGGUCCAGACUCCUACGGGAGGCAGCAGUAGGGAAUCUUCCGCAAUGGGCGAAAGCCUGACGGAGCAACGCCGCGUGAGUGAUGAAGGUCUUCGGAUCGUAAAACUCUGUUAUUAGGGAAGAACAUAUGUGUAAGUAACUGUGCACAUCUUGACGGUACCUAAUCAGAAAGCCACGGCUAACUACGUG
rnacentral:rRNA from 1 species